UACGUAGGGUGCGAGCGUUAAUCGGAAUUACUGGGGCGUAAAGCGUGCGCAGGCGGUGAUGUAAGACAGAUGUGAAAUCCCCGGGCUCAACCUGGGAACUGCAUUUGUGACUGCAUCGCUGGAGUGCGGCAGAGGGGGAUGGAAUUCCGCGUGUAGCAGUGAAAUGCGUAGAGAUGUGGAGGAACACCGAUGGCGAAGGCAGCCCCCUGGGUCAAGAUUGACGCUCAUGCACGAAAGCGUGGGAGCAACAGG
rnacentral:rRNA from 1 species